AUUUCGUCAUCGAUGAAGAUAGCCAGUGGAUGCUUCAGGGGUGGAAGGGACGGAUCAUUUAUGCACUUUCCACGUGGAAACCAGACCAUGAUAGCUUUUGAGUAUCAGAAAGCUUGCUUCUAGUUGUGUACUUGAAAUGGGAACGCUCUUCCUGCUUCUUUGGUCCUAUGGCCACUCGGAACAAAAUCAAAGGUAAUGGGACCAAUGAGUUGCAAGAGCAAUUGGUCUUAAGAACAAACACUGCCUCAAUUUCCAACUACGCAAAAGUUGAAUUCUCAUAAGAGUCCCAAAGCCAUGAGGUCAGUGUUAUGAAUGACUAUACUGAUGAAAGCAUCAUUUGUGAAUGCUAUUGGAAGAUUGGAGCCUGUAACAUAAUGUGUGGCAGAGCUUGCAGCUGAAUCUCCACAAGGCAUCCUUCGUACUCCUGAUACUGUUGCUAAAUUUCAGGUUGGAUACAUGCCUGAUUAUCUUUUCCUUCUACAAACAAUUCUGAGAUCAGAUCCCCAGGAUUGAUGGUAACUCAUGGAAAUGAUACUCCUUUGGCUGUGAUGCUCCGAUCCGAGAGAAAAUAGUCACGUGGAAGGGAACCUUACUGAAACAGUUCAUGUGGAAGGCUAUGUGGUAGUAUGUUUGCUUUGAAAACUUUAAAUAGAGCAUUAAUUGUUUUGUUGAUUGUUGUCUUGAUGGAUGUUAAAUGGGUGAAACAUGCAUAGGUUUAAUCAUUGGUUGAUUAUAAUAUUGUUA